GACAGAGGUGGCUAGCGUUGUUCGGAUUUAUUGGGCGUAAAGCGCACGCAGGCGGUUUGGUAAGUCAGGGGUGAAAUCCCGCAGCUUAACUGCGGGACUGCCUUUGAUACUGCCUUUCUUGAGUGCAUGAGGGGGAAGCGGAAUUCCGAGUGUAGAGGUGAAAUUCGUAGAUAUUCGGAGGAACACCGGUGGCGAAGGCGGCUUCCUGGCAUGUAACUGACGCUCAGGUGCGAAAGCGUGGGGAG
rnacentral:rRNA from 1 species